CUCCAACCCCUGUGACAUACCACUUGUUGCCUCGGCGGAUCAGCCCGCUCCCGGUAAAACGGGACGGCCCGCCAGAGGACCCCUAAACUCUGUUUCUAUAUGUAGCUUCUGAGUAAAACCAUAAAUAAAUCAAAACUUUCAACAACGGAUCUCUUGGUUCUGGCAUCGAUGAAGAACGCAGCAAAAUGCGAUAAGUAAUGUGAAUUGCAGAAUUCAGUGAAUCAUCGAAUCUUUGAACGCACAUUGCGCCCGCCAGUAUUCUGGCGGGCAUGCCUGUUCGAGCGUCAUUUCAACCCUCAAGCACAGCUUGGUGUUGGGACUCGCGUUAAUUCGCGUUCCUCAAAUUGAUUGGCGGUCACGUCGAGCUUCCAUAGCGUAGUAGUAAAACCCUCGUUACUGGUAAUCGUCGCGGCCACGCCGUUAAACCCCAACUUCUGAAUGUUGACCUCGGAUCAGGUAGGAAUACCCGCUGAACUUAAGCAUAU
rnacentral:rRNA from 1 species